GUAAACUCAGUGUGUAAUUCCCAUGCAAACAACAGACAGUAAACAGAUAAUCACAGUCUGGGUCUAAGCCCUUUUCAAUAUCAGUAUCAGUAUCAGUUUGGCCGUAGCUCAUCUCAGUAACAGUAAGCAUUAGGGCCUUAGCCCAUCUUUGAAACAGAUAUGCAAUUACAAAAUCCCACCUAACCAGCUUGUACACUCCAUCUCCG
rnacentral:lncRNA from 1 species